AGGUUAUCUAACCGCAUGCAUCCAAAACAAAUCAUGUAUUUAAAAACUUGAUCACAACUUGAGCAAAAUAUAUGGAGAGCAAAGGGCCAUCGCCAAUAGUUCCACUUGUGCUUGUGGUACUCUUCGGAUGGUUCCUAUGCGGCUCGUACCUUGUCUCACUAUUAGAAGAUGUUGUAUUACCAAUCUUACAAACCGGAACGUUCAUUGUAGGAAUCUUUCUCUUGCUUCUCCUUUUGCUUCUCCAUGUCUUAUCUUCUUCUUGGAUCUAUCCAUGGAUCCCUUCUCUUUUUCUUUUACCAUCUCCGGCUUCCACCACUUCUACUGACUCCGACAGCUUUGGCCUUGGAUCCUUUCUUUUGCUCACACUUUUUUUCAUCUCCUUCUGGUUGUUUCAGUCAGUGUAAUUAAUGUAUAUUCUUCUUGU
rnacentral:sRNA from 1 species